rnacentral:rRNA from 1 species
GUCCACGCCGUAAACGAUGUCUACUAGCCGUUGGGGUCCUUGAGACUUUAGUGGCGCAGUUAACGCGAUAAGUAGACCGCCUGGGGAGUACGGCCGCAAGGUUAAAACUCAAAUGAAUUGACGGGGCCCGCACAAGCGGUGGAGCAUGUGGUUUAAUUCGAUGCAACGCGAAGAACCUUACCUGGUCUUGACAUAGUGAGAAUCUUUCAGAGAUGAGAGAGUGCCUUCGGGAAUUCACAUACAGGUGCUGCAUGGCUGUCGU